GCUUUAACAACUCACGGAUGUGCGACGUGUAUGUUUUUUGAGGCGAGUUUGAUAUCAAGCUCCGGUAAUGGGGAUUAUUCCAAAUGGUAACUUUUUCCACAUAAGACCAUAAACGAGUAUAUCCGAUACCCACGGGUUUAAUUGCUAACUCGAUGCGUAACGAGAAACAAAUACCUGAUGAGUAUGUCAUGGGUACGGGAUACGGUUUUAUAAUCGGGUAUGAGACUAGGAUUAUUACCAAAUCCUAGAGGUUGACUUGACCAGCCCGUUUCUAUAUACAAUUAAGCACGAAAAACUAGAAAUUCAAUUUCAUUUACAUAAAAGGUCUGUCAAAGCAGUACCAUAAACUAUUCAACUUGCAACUAAACUUUUGAAAACAAGUAUUAGGCUACUAUUUCAAACUACUAUUAGGACUAGAGGUGGCAAAAUGGACGGGCUGGUUUGGGUUAGUUGUUGGGUCAGGAUGGGCUAAAAAUAAAAAUAAUAAAUUAAUAAUAAUAAAAAAAUGAAAAAAAUAAAAAUACAAAUAAAAAACUAAAAAAAAAUGAAAAAUAACAAAAAUGAA
rnacentral:lncRNA from 1 species